ensembl:lncRNA LINC00343 long intergenic non-protein coding RNA 343
GCAGUGAAUUCUACAAAGAGGCUAUGGGAAAGAAACCUGGAAAGGUAGGGAGGUAUGGAUAUGGACAAGCUAUGCCAAGGAGCAGGGCUUUGUCAUGGAGAGUGACUAGGUGCUUUUACAUAGGAAAGUCACCUGAUAAUAUUAAAACCUGUGAAAUAUCACUCUGGUGGAAGUGUGAAUGAAUUUGAAAGGGGUGUAACACUGUUCUACUUUGUUUACUCCUCAGUACCCUUGGCUGUGUACAUUUGAGUAAAGAGAGCACUAUAAAAUCAAAAACCAAUGAAAUGGUUUCCAGAACACAGAACUAUUAAGCUUAAGAAAAGGACAGAAGGAACUGAAGAGAGAGGAACUGUUUUGGAGCAUCACACUUCCACCUCAGAAGAAAUAAGGAAGGAAGGAGGAGGGUGUUCCCACGGCUCUUCAACCAGGCCGGCUCUUCAGCCUACAUCCCCAUCUCAUCAAGUAAAAGGGAUUUUUCAACUGGACCAACCAGAUGGUUUAACAGUGCACUCCCACACCAUUCAACUACGCAAGGGAGAUACACUUAACAUAUGCAGUCGUAUAACACCUACUAACAUUUUCAAACAUUAAACCUUUAAAAAAGAGUUCUAAAGAAAUAGAAGCUUGAAGUAUCAUCUCUCAAGUAUAUAGACACUACUUCAUGGUGUGGUAAUAUAUGCAUAUAGAAGCUAGUAAACACCUCCAGGAGAUGCAAAAGGAAUUAGAACUGCCACAAGGUGCAAGCAAAACCUUGAGCUUCUUUAAAAUAUGAAGACUUCGAAGUUAUUUAUCCAAACCAACCUGAUCAUUUCUUAAGAGUGAAUAUACCUUGGAAGACGUGUCCUGCCUUUAGUAGCGUCACAAUGGAUUACAUCCUCUAUAAAGCAGUCUGGGGUGAGAAAAUCGAAUUUGGACACCGUUGAGGAGACUAUUGCAGUCAUCCAAGCUCAAGAUGGUGGAGCUUCAUCCUUGAGAAUAACCAAUGGGGAUAGAUUUAAGAGACACUUAGAGUCUGCAGCCAACAGGGCUGAAUGAGCAGUAAGUAGGAGCACAGCUGGGUGAUGUGGUGGAGGGAAAGAGAGGAGUCAGUAACAGCUCCCCUGUUUCUGGCCUUAACAUGUAACUAGGUACCUGUCUGGACUUCUGUGUCUCAAAAUAUGAAGCAGCCCAUACUACUACUUCCUUUGUUUCUGCAUCUGAUGGAAUAAUAGAAACGUUUUCAAUUUUUGUCAGAAUACCUUCAUAACACACACAUACAAUUAAAAUAGCCUUUACAUUUUUUACAUUCCUAUAUUUAUAUUUACACUUAACAUUAUUGAGAAAAGCCCACACUUGAUGUACAUUGUACCAAUUGUACUGUUCUGCUUGCCCCAUCAGGAAAGCAACUCUGGAAAAAGUGUGGUUGUUUGCAGUUUCCUGGUUAUUUAAAUUGACUGUAAAAGGUGAUAUGGUUCUUCAAUAUUAUUGAAUAGUGUUGCUGAGACUUUCUUGAAUGUUACUGAACUUCUGUAAUAACAUCACUCAACAACUGAGAUUAUCCUAUCCUAAAUAAUGGUUGAUGUGAUGUAAAUGCCAGUCCAUCAGUCAUACAGACAAAACCCAAGAUGAUGUUUUGAUUGUCAUUGAGACAAAGUUAUUCUUGCAAUAAUAAGAAUGGCCAACGCUCAUGGAGUGCCUUCUACCUUCCAGGCACCAACUGAGAGCUUCACACAUAUUAACUCACUCAAUCCUGCUAGCAAUACUCCCAAAGAUGGUAAUAUUUUUGUCUUCACUUUGGGGAUGAGCAAAGUGAAGACAUAGAAAUUUAGUAUCCUGACCAAAGUCAAAUGCUGGAUAAGUGGUGGAGACAGAAUUGAAAGCUGUUAGGCUGCCUGGAGUGAACGUCAUCAGAAAAAUGCAAGACCUCUUUUUACGGAGAGUUAUUCUUCUGCCCCAAAGAUGGAAAGCUAAAUUUCUGAUUGUGUAUGUGAAUAAGCAAAUUUUAAAAUAAUCACAUUUAAUGCACAUACACUGUGUCUUUUCCCUAGGAGAGUUAUGAUUCAGAAGAUCAUCUAAAAUUGAACAGCUGCCACUACUGGCAAUAAGUCUACUGCCAUUUGGUAGAUAACCUUCUUAUCACACAGAAAAAUAUCAGUACAGACAAAUAGACCGCAAAGAAAAUGAGACCAUCAGCAAAGAAGAUAAAGAAGUUUGUACAAAGCAACUUUUUAUAAAUGGAUGGCUGUCAGGCAAAAAUAAAUUUCCUGUGGACAAGACCAAGAGCAAGGCAAGAGGAAAAUAAACAUGUUUAAACUA